rnacentral:rRNA from 1 species
UACGUAGGGGGCAAGCGUUGUCCGGAAUCAUUGGGCGUAAAGAGCGCGUAGGCGGCCCUGUAAGUCCGCUGUGAAAGUCAAGGGCUCAACCCUUGGAUGCCGGUGGAUACUGCAGGGCUAGAGUCCGGAAGAGGCGAGUGGAAUUCCUGGUGUAGCGGUGAAAUGCGCAGAUAUCAGGAGGAACACCAACGGCGAAGGCAGCUCGCUGGGACGGUACUGACGCUGAGGCGCGAAAGCGUGGGGAGCGAACAGG